GCAUCACGUGCGGAUGGGAACGUGUGAGGUGGUGGCGUUACACCGAUGCUGCAAUAAGAACAAGAUCGAGGAGCGUUCGCUGACCGUCAAGUGCUCGUGUUUCCCGGGACAGGUGGCAGGAACCACCAGAGCGGCUCCGUCCUGCGUAGACGCCUCUAUAGUCCAGCAGAAGUGGUGGUGUCAGAUGGAUCCGUGUCUGGAUGGAGAGGACUGUAAAGUGCUGCCGGAUCUCAAAGGCUGGAGCUGCGCUACGGGGAAUAAGAUCAAGACCACAAAGAUCUCCUCAGACCGGGAUCAGCUCUGGUGACCGCUGGAAACCUGAUCCAGGCACACACACAGAUGCUCAUCUACGGUGUCCCUCACGAGUCUUUCAGAGCAGAGCCUCUCUCCGAGAAAUCCCAGGAUCUACAGGCACAGCGCUGGUUUGAGACGCUCAUUAGACCUUCUCGUUAUCAACCACGAUUGAGCUGAUGGAUCCAGCAAAACAUGCGCUUCAUCAGGUGCACAGAGGGAUGAUGGGGAAACUGAUGAACAUUCUAAUAAGAUUGCUCAUGUAUCGUUAUACUGAAUGCAGUCAUAUCAAAGAAGACUUGAUCUGUGUAAAUGAUGCAUACGCUCAUAAUAAACCAUGAUUGUCUUA